AAGAUAAUCUGUUGUUCAACAUUUCAAAAGACUUUUCAUAUUGCCAUUCUCAGAUCAUGUAAGCAAAUGGUUGGUACAGUUUUGAGGAUUCAGAGAGAUUCCAUAAGGCAAAUGAUACCGAUAGCCCACUCUGCUCGGUCCUGAUGUUGCAUCGUUUAAGGUUUUAAAAAGCCUAAGCUAUGGGCUGAAGACAUCAAAUGACAGUACAAUGUGAAACUCACAGUCUAAAAAAGUAGACAUGAUUUGCAGACAGGAUAACAAAAUCACAUCAGACAUAGCCAAUAUUAGGACGAACAGAAGCUCUCUUUUCAGAAGCUUAGCUACACAGACUACUGAUGAAAUGAAGCAGAAAGGUCUCUUUCUUGAAUCUAUUUCCCUUUCAAAUUAUUAUUGUUUUUCGUUAUAUGUUUAAAUGAAUACGCAUUUGACAUCUGUCAUACAUAAAGUUUGAUGAAUAGCUCUAAGUAAACGCUAAUUUUAGAAUGAAUUUGCUUUGGAGUUGGAUGGUGUUGGACAAUCUGGAUGAGUCUUGUUCUUGGUGUUGAUAAUAGAUAUUGAUGGAGGAAUUGUUCAUUGAUGGAACUAAAAGUUC